UGGCAGUUCCGGGUUAUUGUAUAGGAACCAUGAUAUGUGUAUUAUAAACCAUGGGAACUGUUUAACUGCUAUAUCUGUACAUAAGGGAAGAGUUGGGCAGACGAAUUUGGCAAGCAGAAACAGUGAAAUCGGUUGUGCCAAAGAUACAACAAACUAUUGCGGUGACGAUAUUGUACGUGACCGCUUGGAGGCGUACCUGCAUCAAAACCUUUGAAAAGAACGAUCCACGGGGACACGCUAUACAAUAAAAUGGUGGAAGACAAUUGAUAAUCAACAAUGCGGAAGAAAGAUAAAUAUCCAAGAUGACCAGAGCGGUAUCUUAUGCCGUCAUCGGAAUAACAUUCUAGUAUUAGAGAGUGAUAAUCUGUUUUGUUUUAUACAUCGAAGUAGUUACCAUUGUAAUUUAAUACAUAAUUGUUAACCGUUAGUUUAGUACUUUAGUUAUACUGUAAAAAGUAUCAUUCAUAAUUUUUUUUAAUAAAACUGUAGAAAUUAUGUUGUUCUUAUUGUCUGCAUGAGGAAUUAAAUAAAGAUUAAAUG